rnacentral:rRNA from 1 species
GACGAACGCUGGCGGCGUGCCUAAUACAUGCAAGUCGAGCGAAGUUUUUCUGGUGCUUGCACCGGAAAAACUUAGCGGCGAACGGGUGAGUAACACGUAAAGAACCUGCCUCAUAGACUGGGACAACUAUUGGAAACGAUAGCUAAUACCGGAUAACAGCAUUAACUGCAUGGUUGAUGUUUAAAAGUUGGUUUUGCUAACACUAUGAGAUGGCUUUGCGGUGCAUUAGCUAGUUGGUGGGGUAAAGGCCUACCAAGGCGACGAUGCAUAGCCGACCUGAGAGGGUGAUCGGCCACACUGGGACUGAGACACGGCCCAGACUCCUACGGGAGGCAGCAGUAGGGAAUCUUCCGCAAUGGGCGAAAGCCUGACGGAGCAACGCCGCGUGAGUGAAGAAGGAUUUCGGUUCGUAAAGCUCUGUUGUUAGGGAAGAAUGAUUGUAUAGUAACUAUACACAGUAGAGACGGUACCUAACCAGAAAGCCACGGCUAACUACGU